rnacentral:rRNA from 1 species
GCCAGCGGCGAUAGGACGUUGAAUGGACCAAAGUGGAGGUUAAGCAACAUUGCGCGAGGUUGGUAUCCGGACGGGUGGACAUCUGGACAAUCGCGCGCUGCAGGCU